GACGAACGCUGGCGGCGUGCUUAACACAUGCAAGUCGAACGGAAAGGCCCUGCUUUUGUGGGGUGCUCGAGUGGCGAACGGGUGAGUAACACGUGAGUAACCUGCCCUUGACUUUGGGAUAACUUCAGGAAACUGGGGCUAAUACCGGGUAGGAGCUCCUGCUGCGUGGGGGGGGAUGGAAAGUUUCGGCGGUUGGGGAUGGACUCGCGGCUUAUGAGCUUGUUGGUGGGGUAGUGGCUUACCAAGGCUUUGGCGGGUAGCCGGCCUGAGAGGGUGGCCGGCCACAUUGGGCCUGAGGUACGGCCCAGUCUGCUACGGGCGGCAGCAGUGGGGAAUAUUGCACAAUGGGCGGAAGCCUGAUGCAGCAACGCCGCGUGCGGGAUGACGGCCUUCGGGUUGUAAACCGCUUUCGCCUGUGCCGAAGCGUGAGUGACGGUAAUGGGUAAAGAAGCACCGGCUAACUACGUG
rnacentral:rRNA from 1 species